rnacentral:rRNA from 1 species
ACCCGCUGAACUUAAGCAUAUCAAUAAGCGGAGGAAAAGAAACUAACAAGGAUUCCCCUAGCAACGGCGAGUGAAGCGGGAAUAGCUCAAAUUUAAAAUCUUGCAGGGUUACCUGUACGAAUUGUAGUUUAGAGAAACGUUUUCGGGUCUGACUUGGGCAUAAGUCCUUUGGAACGAGGCAUCAUAGAGGGUGAGAAUCCCGUUUUUGGUCCAAUGUUCAGUCCUAUGUGAUACGUUUUCCAAGAGUCGGUUUGUUUGGGAAUGCAGACCAAAAUGGGUGGUAAAUACCAUCUAAAGCUAAAUAUUGGCGAGAGACCGAUAGCGAACAAGUACCGUGAGGGAAAGAUGAAAAGAACUUUGAAAAGAGAGUUAAACAGUACGUGAAAUUGUUAAAAAGGAAACGCUUGAAACCAGUAUUGCUUGCACAUAAUCAGCCUCAUCUUGUAUGAGGUGCACUUGUGUGUCGGCAGGUCAACAUCAGUUUGACUUGGGGUAAAAAGCCAGAAGAAGGUGAUCCAGAGCUUGCUCUGGGUGUUAUAGCUUCUGGUCCUGCCUUGGGUUGGACUGUGGACUGCAGCAUUUUUUGGGUACCCAGUCGCCUCUUGAACCCUUGUUGCAGACAGCUUGCUGACUGUUUCAAGACUUAUGGAGCCCGGUUGGUUUUCCACACCAAUGCUUAGGAUGUUGACGAAAUGGUUUUAAACGACCCGUCUUGAAACACGG